AGCGAACGCUGGCGGCAGGCUUAACACAUGCAAGUCGAACGGGCAUCUUCGGAUGUCAGUGGCAGACGGGUGAGUAACCCGUGGGAACGUACCCUUCGGAUCGGAAUAACUCAGGGAAACUUGAGCUAAUACCGGAUACGCCCUUUUGGGGAAAGGUUUACUGCCGAAGGAUCGGCUCGCGUCUGAUUAGCUUGUUGGUGGGGUAACGGCCUACCAAGGCGACGAUCAGUAGCUGGUCUGAGAGGAUGAUCAGCCACACUGGGACUGAGACACGGCCCAGACUCCUACGGGAGGCAGCAGUGGGGAAUAUUGGACAAUGGGCGCAAGCCUGAUCCAGCCAUGCCGCGUGAGUGAUGAAGGCCUUAGGGUUGUAAAGCUCUUUUGUCCGGGACGAUAAUGACGGUACCGGAAGAAUAAGCCCCGGCUAACUUCGUG
rnacentral:rRNA from 1 species